GACAGAGGAUGCAAGCGUUAUCCGGAAUGAUUGGGCGUAAAGCGUCUGUAGGUGGCUUUUCAAGUCCGCCGUCAAAUCCCAGGGCUCAACCCUGGACAGGCGGUGGAAACUACCAAGCUGGAGUACGGUAGGGGCAGAGGGAAUUUCCGGUGGAGCGGUGAAAUGCAUUGAGAUCGGAAAGAAACACCAACGGCGAAAGCACUACGUGCUGGGCCCGACACUGACACUGAGAGACGAAAGCUAGGGGAGCAAAUGGGAUUAGGAUAACCCU
rnacentral:rRNA from 1 species